UACAGAGGGUGCGAGCGUUAAUCGGAAUUACUGGGCGUAAAGCGUGCGUAGACGGUUAUGUAAGUCAGGUGUGAAAGCCCCGGGCUCAACCUGGGAAUUGCAUUUGAGACUGCAUAGCUAGGGUGCGGAAGAGGGAAGCGGAAUUUCCGGUGUAGCGGUGAAAUGCGUAGAUAUUGGGAGGAACACCAGUGGCGAAGGCGACUUCCUGGACAGCUACUGACACUGAGGCACGAGAGCGUGGGGAGCAAACAGG
rnacentral:rRNA from 1 species